GGAAUGCAUAAUUUAAAUGCCUUGGGAAAGCUGGCAGCGGCUUGAGGAUAAAGGAAUUCAAAUGAGACAGAGGGUGGCCAGCCUAGAGUGGUCAGUCACAAGCCAACUUUAUCCAUUGCAAGCAGAAAAAGAGCUGGCCAGACAGAUGUGAAGGCAGCACAAUCUCCUCCCAUUUUGGCCUUGAAUCAUAAGCAUUCACAGAAGACAGAAAAAUAAGUUUUGUCUGAAGCCUGGCCCAAGUUUUGCUGAAUCACUUAGAUUCCUGCAGGUUACUUUUUUGAGCAUCUUACAGCAUCUUCGGAUCAGCCAACAAAGAAAUUUCUUUUGGACACAGCAUGUGGUCAAAUGAAGAUUCUGUUCAAAGUGACAUGAAAUCAGAAAUAUUGGCUAUAUAACAGUAACCCAGAUAUUGAGUGGAAUGAAGAACAAACCUUCUGAGAACACCCAUGGAGAAGUUGCUCAUCUUUGUGGAUUCCUCUUUUUCUGACAUUAUUGGCAUUUUAGAAUCCUUGCUACUACCAGGGCCUUUUGAUCCCUUCACUGUGGUGCCACAAGAUUUGCCCUCUGUAUGUUGUGAGAACUUAAAAAGGAUUGUUUAAGGAGGGCAGCUUCUGUGUAAUUGUACAUCAGCCAUAUUUAGAAUGAUUAUGGCUUUUGUGACAUUGGAAUAAUGUGUUAUUAGCAGUAUUUUAAGGUUUCUAGGCUGGGAAAAUUGCAGUUCCUCCCUGGAUGGCAACAACAGCUGAAGCUGUAGUGAAGAUGAGGAAAAAGGUGGAUUUCACUACCACAUAACUAUUUAUUACGGGAUUCAUGCACUGGUUAAACGCUCACUCCCUCUGUGCUACAUCUUUUGUCACUGUACCAAUACAGACUCCAAGCCUGUCCUCUUCUCAGGACUCAGCAACAGGAACAUUUUACAAGGGGCAACACAAAUGCCAGCCAGGAAAUAAUAAUAAUCCCAUCAAUACAAUAAAUCCAAUUAAUUUACUAAGUACUAUGUAUUGAUUAUCAUCAGACCUAAAAUCCACAAUUCUUUUUGACACUUGCUACAUGUGUUACCCUGGUAACAUACAACUAUAUGUGUUCUAAAUGUUAUCUGGGCAAUUUCCAUGCACAGCAAUAAACAAGGUAAUUCAAAUUCUGCACAACUGUAAACUACUACAUACACAGACAAUUUUACUUCAUGUUCUCAAUAGUUGUUUUUUAAAAGAAGUUUUAAAUUUCUUUGUAGUACUAUAAAUAUUAUUCUUCUCUUUCCAGACUUAGGUAUUCUUUGGUAGUUAUUUGCCCUAAUAGUAGAAUAGGAAGGAAUCAGAAGUCAAAAAACAUCAGUAUCAAGUUUGUCCCUAUUCUCUUGAGUGUCAUUUAAAGAGGAACAUUUGAUCAGUACCAAACUUCUAAAGGGAAUACCAUUUCAAUGUUAAGACUAAUGAGACUAGUUUAAUCUCAUCCCUAUAAACAAAUCAGCUUAGGCCUAAUGAAAUCUUAUUUUUGUAAAUUAAGGCACAAAGGAAACAGUUCACUGUAAACAGACUUGUAGUAUACAUUGUUUAGAGACUAUUGACUUUCAAAUUAGCCUGCUUUUCAAACAUUUCACGUCAAAAAUAUAGUCAAAAUGCAAAUGUAGCAUAAACGGCUCUAUAAUAAAUGCUCAUUCAACAUUUAUUCUUCCUCAAAUCAUCUUUUAAAGCUCUUUCAUGCUAAUGUCUAGAAGAUGUGACAUUAGAAAAAUUGCUUUGACAUGCUAAGGGGCUCCAAGAUUAACAAAAAGAGAAAGAACAAGAUAAAGCUUUCAAAAGACCUAUUUCAGAGGAAUUAUUACUUCCUUUGAAAGUCUUCCAAGGUUGCAGUGCAUUUAAGCUUGUUGGCAUACAUGUAAAUGAAGGACUACAGAAGUAUUCCACUAAAUACAACUUGAAUUAAACCUUCAGGCUAAUGUUAGAGAAUGAGGAUAAAGGCCAGACCCUAGGCUGGC
rnacentral:lncRNA from 7 species